UACUUACGUGAUCUCUCAGCGUAGAAGGCCGCGCCUCCCCACUACCGGCUAUUUAUACUCCGAGAAGUCUCGCGAGAUCACCGCCCGGCUAUGCGAGCCCCGCGGGAUGAAUUGAGAAUAUACUGCGGCGCAGAGCGGCGCGUUUCUCUUAGUUAUACAGGGUGCGGGGCCCCGGAAAUCCAGGAGCCUGUAUAAAAGGCGGCGCGCACGCGUGCGGCGCUUAGUGUGACGCGAGCGGCGGCAGGUGCGGAGCUUGGCCUGGACGGACGGACAGACGGAUGGUGUUCUGGCCUGCAGAGCCGGGCCCUGCCUUCCCCCCCGGCCCCGACGUCCGCCGGAUCCUUUCCGGGGGUUCUUCCCUCUCCACCGCCUGCGAAGGUGAAGCCUGGCUGGGCAGGGGGAGCGCUGCGGCAGGCCGGGACAGCGCGUUGGCAGCCGGGACGGCUGGAAGCCAUUCAGUAAUGUAUUUUUAUAUACAAUAAAAGAUUAAUUACUUGAAA